UGAGAUGGGGAAAUGGGUAUUGCAUAAACUAUACAUUAGUUUCUUAGGCUGCAGAAUCCCCUUGUAUAGUUAUGUUCUUCAUACUAUUGGAAAAUAGAGUGAGAAAGAAACAGAAAACUAUUGCAGAUUUUCAAGCGAAUUGAGCACCAUUUCCAACAACAUAUAUAUAUAUAUAUAUAUAUAUAUGUCAAAGAAAAAGCUUUUCAUGUUAACGAGAGAUAACAGAUCAAACAAAAAACAAACUGAAAAUCCGAAACAGGGAAGAAAUUAUGAAAAGGACAAGCUUCAACAUAGCAACAAAAAUGUAUAAAUACUUGGUUCUGCUUUAGUUUUCAGAUUUCAAGAAGGUUUGGUGCUUGCAGAAGGCUUCUUUUCAGGACCCUGGAGGGAAUGGUUUCCUGAAGAAUACUCUUGAUGCUGAUGUUGAUGAUGAUGAGUUGUGGAUGGAUUUGCAGACCUGUCAGUGCUUGAACCAUUAGACCCAUGACGACCAUAAGGACUAGCAAUUGCUUGGGCUGAGUCGGUGGAUUUAGGUGGCUGCUCCUCCCCUUCCAAUGUUAGGUCUGGUGGGAGGACUCGAGAGGGUUGGCGUCUAUGGCGGGACAUUGGUGUUUCUGUCUUUUUGUUUUGCAGCUGGCUGCCUUGGAGUAGCUUUGAGGAGAGUAUUAUAUGAAGAGAGUUGUAAGAAAGAUAUUUAGCACGCGCAAGUUACAGCGUGGUGGAGCUCUCGAGUCAUCUGACAC
rnacentral:lncRNA from 1 species